rnacentral:rRNA from 1 species
AUGUUCCCUCUUUUGCAAGUUCUGGUUAUUAGAGAGUGCCCAAAACUGUUGGGGUUGCCUUUCUCAAACCACAUAAUUUCCCCAGAUUGGUUCCCCAAACUACAAGAUCUUGAGAUAUGUGACUGUCCAGAAUUCUUCUUGUCAGUGAUCCCCAUGUCUUGGAUUGAAAGCCUGCGUCAUGUCCUGAUACUGCGGGUAAAGCUACUACAGAGGCUUCAGUGCUCAAAAUCAUCAGAUGGAGUAAAUUUGCUAAUUGAAGGAACGGAUGAUCUGCAUAGCAUAGACCAAGUGUUAGUUUUUGAUAAAGAAACAGGUCUAGAGAAGCUGACACUGGAGAAAUGCCCACCUCUGGAGUUGAAGCACCUUCUGAUGCUAACCUCCCUGAGGACAUUGACUGUAGAGAAUUCAGUUGGUCUAGUUGGACCACUAGGAAGAGGUGAGGAUGAUGUGGAAUGGCUGCUCCCUGUUGAACAUAUUAAGAUCAAGCACAUGAAAGGUAAUAGUGGGGAGGAGUUGACAGAGCUCCUUCCCCACUUCCCAAAGCUCUCCAAAUUGGAAAUAUGGAUGUGUAAAAACAUAAAAAAGCUGGUAGAUGGGGUGGAUGUGCAACAAAAAACAUCAGAAGCAUCAGAGAUGGGGGGAGGUGAAAUAACAGCAGCAGCAGCAGAGGAAGAGGACGAUGGGGUGCUGCUCUUCCCACCUCAUCUAUGUGACUCACUACGGGAAUUGGAGUUCUUUCGCUGCGAAGAGCUGGUCCAGGUGGACCCGCCAACUCUUGUUCCUGGAGGAGGAUGGCUCCAAGCCUUGCGAUCCCUCCAGAGAUUAACAAUACGGGGGUCCCCUAAGUUUCUAUCCACCUUCUCCUUUUCCCGUCACAUUUUCCCUUCCUCCCUGCAGUUUCUGGUGCUUUGGGAUGUGAAAGGCAUGGGGACACUGGAGCCCCUCUCAAACCUCUCCUCUCUCACCAGAUUAGAAUUGUAUUGUUGUGGAGAGGAUCUAAAAUGUCAGGGCUUGUGGUCUCUCCUUACCACCGGGGGCCAUCUCAAGGAAUUAAAAGUCAUGGGCAGCCCUGGAUUCUUUUCUGAUUGGGAUCCCAAUCCCAGACGGGCUUUGGAGGAUGCCGAGGGAGGUGAAGAGCAGCAGACACAGCUUGUCUCAUCCACACUGCGUGAGCUUAAAACAAAUGACGUGACAGGACUUCUUGCUGCACCCGUCUGCAGAUCCCUCUCUUCCUCCCUCACCAAGCUGGAACUUUGGGGGAGUUGGUGUGAAGGGAUAGAGCGAUUUAGCAAGGAGCAAGGGGACGUCCUUCAACUCCUCUCCUCCCUCCAGGAACUGUGGUUUUGGAAUUUCAAGGACCUUCAACAACUCCCUACAGGGCUGCGUAACCUUACCAGCCUCAAGAGAUUAUCAGUCAACUACUGUCCAGCCAUCUCGUCAUUGCCCAACGAUGCCCUCCCGGAUUCACUGGAAAAGCUAGAUGGCACUAAAUGCAGCAAGGAGCUAAAACAGUACUGCAGGGGGGUAGUGGGAACCAUCCCAGAAAUCAAUAUAUACGACUGA